CCCGAUCCUUAUCCACUUGCCACUGACUCAUCCCCUUAUCUGUUCUGCGCUUCUGUGCUAUAGACCUUCUAUACAUUGCCAGAAAAGUCUCUUUAGAAAAAUCAGCAUUAUGUGAAAGAUACAAAUAGGAGAUAUGGGAUUGCUUGUAGCCAGCAGGAUCCUGGCUACAGCUUCUUCACUUUUUAAUGGACACUGUUAUGCUCAUAUUAUAUUUUAUUUGCU